rnacentral:lncRNA from 1 species
AGGGGAUGCAAAGGGAACUUUGGAUCUUAUACAGCAUGAAACCUAUGUUCCAUUGGUAGCACGUUUCUCUUGCCAACCAACAAGGUCAAGGAGUGAUCGCCAAUCUGUGUACUACCAACGAUAAUACAAACAUUAAAAGACAACAAAACAAAACCAAGCACGAAACAUACUCCUGAACUAAAACCACAUAUAUACAAGCUGAAUCGUAUGGGAUCUAGCUUUAGGUAAAUGCGAUGCAAGAUGCACAAACAAAAUAAUUUAGUCAAUGAACUAUCAGAUUAAUAUGUACCAGGG